rnacentral:lncRNA from 1 species
AAGCAAUAUUCUACUUACCAUUAUCUUAGCCAUAGUUCUUGCAGGAGCCCUUCCCAAGAAUGUGGUAGAGGCUCAGAAUUGUGGCUGUGCUGCAAACCUUUGUUGCAGUCAAUAUGGCUACUGUGGCACUGGCAAUGCCUAUUGUGGUCAGGGAUGUAAACAAGGGCCCUGUGCUUCAUCACCUACGCCUACUACCCCUAGUGGGAGUGGUUCUGUUGCUGAUAUUGUUACGCCUGCUUUCUUCAAUGGUAUAAUCACCAAGCUGGUGCAGGCUGUGCUGGGAAGAAUUUCUAUACAAGAAAUGCAUUUCUCAGUGCUGUCAAUUCAUAUUCUCAAUUUGGUAAACUUGGUUCAGCUGAAGCUUCUAAGCGUGAGAUUGCAGCUUUCUUCGCUCAUGUUACUCACGAGACUGGACGUAAGUUCCUCUUCCAUCCCUAAUAACAUUUCUCGCAGCAUUUGAAUAGCAAGCAUGAUAGCCAACAGUAUUCUGUCUGUCUGUCUGUCUAUCUUUUCCACAAAUACAUUUGUCCGCAUAUGGAUUUUGUCAACAAAGUGAACUGUCUAAUAAGCGUGUUUCAGCUCCUCGUGUGUAAACUGACAAGAGAAAAUGUCUUUUUUUGCAGACUUCUGCUAUACAGAAGAGAUAAAUGGUGCUUCCCGUGACUACUGUGAUGAAAACAACAGGCAAUACCCAUGUGUUGCAGGCAAGAAAUACCAUGGCCGCGGACCAAUCCAACUAUCAUGGAACUACAACUAUGGGCCAGCCGGAAGGAGCAACAACUUUGAUGGAUUGAACAAUCCUGACAUUGUAGCAAGGGAUGCUGUUGUGUCAUUUAAGACAGCCUUAUGGUUUUGGAUGAAAAGUGUUCGUCCUGUUGUAAGCCAAGGUUUUGGAGCAACUAUUCGAGCCAUUAAUGGUAAUGAAUGCAAUGGUGGAAACUCAGGUGCCGUUCAGGCUCGUGUUAGAUAUUAUAGAGAUUAUUGCAGUCAACUCGGCGUUGCUACUGAGAAUAACCUCGCUUGCUAGGUUUUAAAAUAACCGGAGUUGUUAUGCCAAGUUAUGGCUAAUCAUAUGAAAAUAAGAUGUACUGCUAUGAAACAAGUUGAAGAGAAAUAAAGUUUAUAAUUAUCGUUAUGUCUCUUAUAGUUUUUCAGUAAUUUUGAUGUCCCUUUUUAUAUUUAUUUUUAUUACUUAGAAAAACCUCCACUUUACGUGCCAUAAAUUUGUUUUGAAAUUCAAUUUACGCCUUGUAUUUUAUUUUCCAUCAAUUUAAUCCAAUUUGACCAAAAGAUUGGAUCCAUCGAACCCAAUAUAUUAGCAAUUUGAAAUUGAAAUCACUAUAUGUGUGCAUAUUCAUUUAUUCUUCCAUUUCCGUAAUAAAUUUUCAAAUUUAUGUUAAUAUCAGUAGUAGGAUCUACUCUAAUUAAUAACUUCUUGAGUAAAACAAAAACCAAAGGAAAAAAAAUAUAUUUUUAAAUAACUCUUUUUUCCCAGGAAUUUGUCCUCAUUUUAAUAAAUCUUGAUUUUUACAUAUUGCUUAUGCUAGAGACUAGAUAGAGACGAGAAGGUAUGCGUUUUUUCCCGUCCCAGUUAUACAAGCAUAUUGUUACAAUGAUCUCCAUAUAUAUUUUUUAUAUCAAUACAAGAUAAAAAAAUAAAAAAAAAAUAUUAAUUUAGUGUUUCACGUAAGGACACUAAAAAUCAUGUUGAGCCGACGUUGAACAUCAUCAAUAUUAAUGGAGAGACUUUUCAAAGAAGAUGUCAAGUCCAUUUCUUACAUGAUAGCAAUUGUGGAUUGGGGUCCAUGUCCAUGGACAACAUCGCAUUGAUCUUGAUGUUAAUGAAACAAGUUUGAAAUACAGUGGCAAAAAAUCGAUUUGCCAGACAAAAAAAUGAAAAAUGAAAAAUUAGGCAACUUCCAGUUAUUUCCUUUUGCUUCCCAAUUAUCAUAUUGUUUGGCGGUGCUAGGCCAUGUGCUUGGCUCACUUGACCGACAGCACUAUACGUUGCUACCCAUUUCUUAUCCAGCUAGCUAGAUGCGGAAGAAACGUUGGUGUUUUUUUUAAUACAUUUCCAAAAAAAAUAAUACUUUAAAAAAUAAUUAUCAUUACAUUUUUAAUGAGUUAAUCACCAAGAGAUAGAGAAAGUGUUGCGUGUUAAAAAAUCAAUUCAGUCUAGUAACUUAAGUUAUUAGGUUAGAUUUCAAGAUAUGAUUUAUAUUAUUUUAUAACAUACUAUUUCAAGUCAUUUGGAUUGUAUAUAUCCAUAUUACUUUGUGCUUAAUUUUUAUCAAAUAAAUGAGGAUGAUGAGUGUUGCUACCCAAUUUUUGACCCAUGUUUUAAUAUAUUUUCAAAAGAUCCAAAAAAAAUAAAAUUGAAAAACAAAGAAAAUCCAAAAAAAUAUGUUUUUAAUAUAUUUUCGUCAUUUUAGCAUUUUCAACGUCGUUUAAAAAGAAUUUAAAUUGUUAAAAGAUUUUUCAAACGCGUUCGACUUUUCACGCGUAAUUUUUAAAAUCGUUGAUUUUCCGCAUUUUAGUUGACGUUGAUAUUGCUCGUUUUCAAAAAAUACAAAAAAAUAAGAAAAAUCAAAAUUUACAAAAAGAAGGAAGUUGAGGGACCAAGUUGAAAAAUCUAGCAAAAGUUUUCCUAUAAAUACCAUGCUAAACUGAUUUUUAAAGGGGGGCAAUUUUGAAAUAUCAGAAAAUACAAAAACAAUAACCUAACCCUAAACCUAUCUCUACCAAGCCUACAUCCCCCCUUUCCCCUUGGUUUGAAUUUUUUUUCUACAGCCGCCGGCCACAAACCAAAGCCAAACACAGCCACCCCUUCAGCCGUUUCUUUCUCAACAGACCCCCACAUUUGAACCCACGGUCCAACCAUCUCUUUCAGCCCUUUGAAACAAAAAAACAGCAGCCGUCUCCAAGCCUUUUUCCCGUUACAACAGCCACCACCGUUUUUUUUUCUUCUCUUCAACCUCACAAAGGACCAGCCGGCGGCGCCCCCUCCCCCUUUUUGGGUCUUGAGUUUUUCCCCGGCCAUCUCUGAUCUCCCUCUUCUCAGCCGGACAACCAUCAUCUCCCAGCUCUCCCCUCAGCAGCUCCUUCUUCUCCUUCGAUCCCAGCAGCAACGACCUCCACAAAAGCUCAGCCACACGCCAUCACAGAAACCAGCGGACCUCCCCCCUCCACAGAUCCUCUCUCUACUCUCCGCAACUCCUGAACCAGACUCCGGACACUCAGCGGCGCUCCUCUCAGUCACCAACAAGCGACGACCCACAGACCGACCUCGCAGCAGCUGCUCUUGCCCAGCGCCGUCGCCGCCCAACCGCCAGACCGCCACCGAUUGAAGAAGGAACGAAGGGACGCCAGGAAGGAGAAAGAUAACCGGAAACAAUAGAUCUAAAAAACGAAAAAUCAGAAUAGAUCUGGACAAAAAAAUGGAGUAAAAUCAACUGUUUGUGGCCCCCUUUUUGUAUUUCUUGUUGCAGGCAGAGGUGGCAGUGACCACCGGCGAGGAAGAAGAGAGGAAGCCGCUUUCGAUCUCCCCUGCUGUUUGGGUUUUAUGCGGCGGCGCGUGAACCCACGCGCCGCCAGUGACGGGGGCGCGUGGGGAGACGCGCCGCCCAUGCUCCUGCUGCCCUUUGUCUUCACAGAACUGUCCCUGCACUGUUAUAGAUUUUUUAGGGUUUAUUUUGUAAUUUGUUUUUAAUUGUUUGAUGUAAUAUUUGUUUAAUUUGAAUUUUUAUUUGUAUUUUGUAAAUAGGGAUGUAAAAGAAAAGAAAAGAAAAAGAGAAAAGGAAAAGAAAAGAAACAAAAAUAAUACAGUAAAAGUGAAUGUGGGUAUUUGUUUUUAUUUUUUUAAUAUAUUUUUUUAAUGAUAAAAUUGCAGAUAUUAAAAGAAGAAUUUAAUAUUUUGAUUGGAUCACGGUUAAGAAUUAUUAACUUAUACGUAAGUGAUAUUUCUAAUUUCCGAUGAAAAGACAAUUAUUAAAACUUUUUUUAACACGUCAAAGACACGAAGCAGCUUACCUCAGGUAGGGUGCGUUAGGGGUGCAAAUACCUUCCCUAACCACAACCAGUCCCUUACCCGCGAAUCUCUGACAAGACCAGUACAUCCGGUUUCCUAGUAGCCUUCAAUGAAUUACUAGGUGGCGACUCCAACGAACCGAUUCAAGCAAACGUAACGCAACAACGAUAAAAAUCGUCAGCCGAUGCCGCGCGCCGACUGAUUUUUUUGGGGUGCGACAAUGAGAUUUGAAUUCGUGAUCAUUUAAUUAUCAAGGGUUUAAUAUCAUGUUAAAAAAUAAUCUUAACCUAAUAGCAUAAGCUACUAGAUAAGGUUUUAAAAUAUAAUUUAUAUUAUUUUUUAAUAUUAAACUAUUAAAUUAAGAUUUUCUUUAAGACUGUGAGGUAGAAAUUGAGUUGAGUUGAGAAGAGUGUUUCUCCUCCUCCUUGGAAUAUGAACGGCAUCUCUAAUUAAUAAAACAGAUAUUGUAGGCAAAUUAGUCAACCACAUGCGUCGAUUCUGGGCAUCCAUUUUUAUCCUAACAGUUAGCUACAAAAACUAGAAAAAGAAAGGAGCACUAGAAGACGGGUUUAAUUUUAUUUUUUCCUAACCUUUCAUUUAUGGUGAAAGGUUGUCUUCUCUAUCUUAAAAAUAUAUAGGAAGGGGACGUAGAUUUUGGGUAAGUAGCUAGUCAACGACGGCUAUGCCCAUUCUAUGCCAUUGGGCGCCAGUAACUUCAAAUAGCUACUUCAAACUAUUGACUGUUGGUUAUGUAUUUUAAAUUUUUUUUAAAAUUUUUAAAAUUUUAUUAUUAACUUCAAAUUAAUAUAUUUUUAUUGUUUUUAAAUUAUUUUGAUAUGCUGAUGUCAAAAGUAAUUUUUUUUUUAAAUAAAAACAAAAUCAUUAACAUGUAUUUAGACAUAAAAAAUUAUUUAAAGAGCAACCACAACUACACUGCACAAAAUAAAAUAAAUAAUAAGAUAUUAUGUUGUUUUUCGUGAGGAGAUAGGGUUGGACAGCCUUUUUCCUCCAAAGUCUGAACUAGCAUGUGGUAAACUACCAAUUGAAUCUGUGUCUUUUAUGUGGACAAGAUUUCUAUUUUCUUGCCUAACUUCUUUCGACUUUUGCUUGAAAUGGUAGUGGUUGCUUAUCCUUUCCUAGUUGCUUGAAAAGUAAUACACAUAAGCCAGCAAUGGAACAAACAAUUGGUACGUAUGAUUACCAUCUAUCGUGUGCUGCCGGUAACAGCACAAUACAAAGUUAAAACUUCAUGUUUUUUUUUUAAAAAAACUAACGUUAUGAAUAUCCAAAAGCCUUGAAAUGAUUUAGACAAAAAAAUCCACCGUUAGUGAUUGGAUGUUCAAAUAUCUCAUUCGCUGCGACGAGGUCGGAUGUUAGAAAUAUGGGUGAACUCUCCUCCAGUUUUGAAUAGCUUUAGCUUCCUCGGUUUUUCCUAUAUUUGAGAUACGACUCGAAAACAAAAGGGUUGAUAUUAUUUUACAUAUAUACGACAUGUAUUCCAUAUAUAUAGAUCCAUGAUAUACAGCGGAUUAAUAAAAAUUAAUUUUUUUCAAAUAUCAAAAAAAUAUAAAAAGUAUAGAAAUUUUUUUAACUAUCCUUAAAAUAUCCUAAAUAAUUUUUUAUAAAAAAAAAUAUUUAAACUACCCUUAAAAUAUCAUAAAACAAAAUACAAAUUAAGUUUUUUAUAAUUUUUUAAAAAACAUUAAAAUUACCCUUGAAGUGUUCUAAAUAAUGUUUUUUUAAUUGUUUUUAAUUUUUUAUAAAAAACUUUAAACUACCCUUCAAAUAUGAUCUUAAAUCAAAAUACUAAUUAGUUUUUUAUAGAUAUUUUUUUAUUAAAAAAACAUUUGAACUACCCUUGAAGUAUCCUAUAUAAUUUAUUGUAUAAAUGUUUUCUAUUGUUUAUAAAAAAAAUAUUUAAAUUACCAUUGAAGUAUCAUAAAUAAUUUUUUUAAUACAUUUUUUUUAUUUUUUAUAUAAAAAAUUAAAUUACCCUUAAAGUAUCAUGAAUAGAAACACUAAUUAAUUUGUUUUAUAAAUAUUUUAUUUUUUAAAAAUAAAUAGGUUUGGCAGCCAUGCUAGACCCAAUAAUCUUGGGUCUCGCAGUAAUACCAAGCCUAGAAUCCUUGGAUCUGGUGGCAAUCCGAGACCCAAGAACGCUGGUUCUAGAGGGUAAACCAUACACAAUAGCUUUAUGUUUGAUUGCCAUGUCAAACCCACUAUGCUUGGGUUAGGCGGUUAUGCCUUGGCUCAACACGUUGUAGCAACUUUUAGAAAAAAUGGAAAAGAUAAAAAUGGUAAAAAAAAUUAUUUUUUUUCUAGUUUUUACAUAUAAAAAAUGAAACUAUCCUUCAAGUAUUCUAAACUGAAAUUCUAAUUAAUGUAUUUUAAAAUUUUAUUAUUAUUUUUAUUAAAAGCAUAAACUACCCUUGAAUUAUUAUAAAGAAAAACGCAAAUUAAUUUUAUUUAUAGUGUUUUUUUUUGUUUUUUCUAUUAAAAAAAUAUUAAAACUACCCUUGAUGUAUCUAAAUAAAAAUACUAAUUAGUUUUUUAUAAAUUUUAUUUAUUUUUUAUGAAAAACAUAAACUACCCUUGAAUUAUUAUAAAGAAAAACGCAAAUUAAUUUUAUUUAUAGUGUUUUUUUUUGUUUUCUCUAUAAAAAAAUAUUAAAACUUUUUUUAAUUUCUAUUAUUUUUUAUAAAAACAAACAUUUAAACAACUAUUGAUGUAUCAUAAACAACAAUGUAAAUUAAUUUUGUUUUAUAAUAUCUUUAUUUUUUAUUUCUAAAAAAAAUAUUAAAACUACCCUUAAUGUAUCCUAACUAAAAUUUUAAAAAACGUUUAGUGCAUGUUUGUAAUAAAUUGAAUGAUCAUCCAAUGAAUGUAAGUUUUUUAAUAAUGAGUUGUUAAGUUAUAUAUUCAGAUUAUUUGAUUACUCUACAAAUUUUAAUUUUCUUUUUGCAUAUUAAAAGUUCAUAAAGAUUUUAAUACAUCAUUACAAGUUUAAGUUUGGAGUUGUAAGAAAAGUGUAAUGUUUAUAUCAAUAACAUUAAAUUUAACUUUUAACUUUGAAAUUCAAAAUCCUUUAAAUUGAAUAGAGGUAGGCAUAAAAGAACCCGAAUCACUGGGUCUACCAAAUCAAAGAUCCAGUUUAUGUAGGUUAUAUUGUCAUUAAAGUGUCCAAAGCACAAACUGUGCUCCACUAGUUUACUUUUCAAAGCUGCAAAGCUUCAAUCUCAACAUAUAUCUGCGCACAAAAUAGUUGCAAGGAUCAGUAAAUCUUGAGAAUAAACAACUAAUUAAUGGGAUAAAAGAAAGAUCCAAUAGUUUUUCGAUACAAAUAAUAAUUUCAUACUGAUAGGUCUUGUGAGCAAGCUGCAUCUUUCCUUUCCUAGAUGAAAUUCAUGUGAAAUAUUUUUUUCGACAGUCCAACUCUUUCAUUUUUCGGUUUCUGUUCUUUCAAUCUUAACUGAAAAAUUAGACUUAUACCAAUCAACUUCUUCAACUAGGAUGUAAUAUUAGCACUGAAACUAUAUAUAUAUAAAAUUGCAGCUCGAUCACUAUCCUAGUCUUUCUAUUAAAAAUUAUGAGUACUGCAAAUUACAGAACCACUUGUAUAAACUGGCUUUGACCCCUACCAGAACCUUGCUAGGAUAAUAGAAAAGAAUAAACCCAUCACUUUUUAUUUAUUGUCAUGAAUAUGAUAAAACUAAACUAGCUGUUUCUUACGAUGCUAUAUAAAAAGAUUCAAAAUCACCAAGAUUUUGUACUUGGUUUGUAGUAAAAUAGAAUUUUGAUUUGUUUCUUCCUGCAAUCCUCGCAUGAAAAAUAGCAUUAAUGAAAGACUCUAUGGAAGUAAAAAGGUCACUUUGGCUAUCUUUCAUGUCCAUUUGAUCACUCCAAAAUAAUAGAGGAGUUGGAAAAGCCAAUUAAUGAGCAGCUAAAAGCCCAAGGUAUAUUAUCUUUGUCACACGGGGGGCACGAUGUCAGGGGUGAUGACGAGCUUUUCAUGCUUCCUGAGGAGGUGUCGUUGUUGGGAAAAGAAAUAGGUUUGGGUUUAAUCAUAGAUUAUAAUUAAGUUUUGGAGCCGCUACCUAGUAUUAUAAUAAAUAGAAACCUAUGGUUUGCAAGAGUCCGGGUAAAAGACUAGUUGUGUGAGGGGAUGACACAUCACUCCUAGUGCACCCUACCUAAGAUACAUUGCAUUGUUACUUGAUUGUUUUUCUAUGUCAAGUUUAUAUUCGUUGGUCUUUUUUCUAAGGUUCAAGGUAGAUCUUUCUUCGUGAGUCUUUACCUCAUCGGGUUUAAUUAUAACUAUUUUAAAGAUCAAAUUUUAGCAUUGCAUUUAUUUUACACUUCGUAUCUUUAAUACUAAAAGAUAUACUCUACUAUGUAGUUUUAUACCACACAAACGUUAAAGUCUACAUCUAAACCCUAGGAAAAUGAUUGGUAAAGGGUUUUUGAAAAUUUAGUCAAAUUCUAAUGGACAAUCAUAAACUAGUUACAAUAUCCAAAUUUUUUUAAAAAAAACAUGAAAAAUAUGCAUUUUUUUUAUGUUUUUUUAUGAAAAUAUGUUUGGAAAACUUUUUAGGAUUUGGACGUAUGUAUAAAAACAAAAAAAAAAUAUUUUUUUAUUUUUUGAAAUGGAAAAUUAAUUUAAAAGUUUUGAAAUUUAUUUUGAUUUUUUUAAAAUAUUUUUUAGAAAUUUUCAGAGAAAAUCAGGUAUGUUAAUACCGGAUUUGUAUCUGACAAUGUAAAUAUACAACCUAAUAUUAUACAAAAUUGAUAGAAAAACAUUCGAGAAAAUCAAAAUGUUUUUGAAAAGAUGUUUUAUUUUUUUUAUAAUAUUAUAAAUAAAUAAAUAUUAAAUAAAUAUGGAUAGUAUAGCCCAACUAACUCGAUCGAACUUAACCCAAGAAAUAUAAGGUUGGUCCCAACCCAAGAAGGGUGUUGGGCCAAUCUUGUUCCAACACAUUAUUUUUACGUUUUUAGUACGGAUUAGAACCAUCCUAAUUAUUUGGGAUGGGCUAGAAAUAGCCUAACUCAAAGUUAAUAGUUGAACAUGAAGUAUACAAUGGGCUAUAAUUCAUACCCAUUGUUGAUGCAUGAUUAGUAGGAUAGUAGGAUGUGAAUUACAAUCCAUGCUUACUGUUUAUGUGAACAGAGAGGGAAGAAGAGGAAAGGGGGCUCACUUGGCUCAUGGGUUGCGGAUAUCGUCAAAUGAAAUCCAAUUACAAUUUCAGGAUUUGUUAGCAACAAUUCCACGACGUCGCAUCCAAUGUUUCUCAGACGCAUGAAAGCACAAGGCUAAGCUUCUCUCUUCAAGUGGAAGUCUACAGCAUAUUGAAGAUGAAUGUGAGGUGGAAUCCCAAGGCUCACUGGACUCAGGAAUCAGACAAGGGAAUCUUCGUUGUUUAACAUCUUCAAAUUCUGUUGUUGAGGCAGAGGUGCAGGGAACGUUGAAAACUGGGCGGGCAUUGGGUUUUGGAAUGUUGAGGACUUGCAGGUGCUGGGAACAUCCAUUAGAGGCCAGGUGGACAGAAAGCUGGAAGAUUGGAAUGACGACCAAUAAUGCCAUUUUGCAGCUCGACAGUGGAUAUGUAUUACCUUCUUUCUUAAUGAAGAUCUUACUCUGGAAUAGAUGUGGAUUGGGUAUGUCUGCUAAGGGGGUAUCGAUUAGGAAUACUGUUCUGCAUAAUGACAUUAAGGUGUGUUUUCUGCUAGGAACUAAGAGGGCAAUGUGCUGUGACAAUUUUGUUCAUGCAUUAUAGAAUAACUUAUCAGUCAAAUGGUUUCCACUUAAUUCAGUUGAUUAGGCUGGAGGUAUUUUAGCUACGUGGGAUGAAAGUAAGUUCAUGGUUCAUUCAAUUGGAUUGCAUAUUGAGAAGCAAUUUACUUGUGCAAUCAUAGGAGUCUAUGCAGGAAUCAUAGUUCAUGUGAGACACCUUUGUUCAUUGUUGGGGACUUCAAUGAAACAUUGCAUCAGUGUAAAAGUAACAGUGGCUAUUUGAAUGGCAUUGGUUCUACGGAUUUCAAAAGAUUCAUAUCCAAUUGCAAUCUUUUGGAGUAUCCCCUCUCUGGUCACCAUACACAAGAUUUCAUGGCAACUCAAUGAGUAGAACUGAUAGAGCCUUUGCCACUCCAUACUUCCAUUUAACAUUCUCAGGUCUCCUACUCAAUCGGUUUCCACAAGAAUUGUCUGAUCACUGCCCAAUGAUCUUAGGACUGCAAUGCCAAACUUGGAGAUGGAAGCCAUUUCGUUUCCUCAAUUGUUAGGUCUCUAAGCCUAUGUCUAUGGACAAACUUGAUGGUCUUUUCCAGGAGUGUGGUAUUAAGUACAAUGGGAGACUUCACAUGUUUAAAAAGCUUGCCUUUAUGGCUAUGAAAUUCAGAAUAUGGAAUAGAAAGGAAUUUGGCAAUCAGGACUUGAAACUGUUGCAGCUUUAGCGUGACAUCCAGCGACUGGAGAAUAUAGAAGAGGACAAACAGCUUAACCAUGAAGAACCUUCUAUGCUGCAAAUCUUGCGCUCUAAGCCGUGGGAAAUCAACAAGUUUGUGGAAUCAAUCUGCAGUACAAAAUCAAGACAGAGCUGGUGCAAGCCUUAGAGAUAAGAAUACAAAAUUCUUCCACAUUAUAGCUAAUAUUCGAAGGAGUGGAAAACUCUAUCACUCGUAUCAGAUACAAUGAUAUACUGCAUACCUUUCCCAAGGACAUCAAGGAGGCGGCAAUAUCCUAUUUCUCAAGUCUGUUCACUAAUGAAAUCUCUACAAGAGCUACAAUGGGGUUCAAUAAACUAUCCAUAAUGCAAACUCAACAACUUGAACAAGCGGUAACUAUGGAAGAGGUCAAGCAAAUGAUUUGGAGUUGUGAUGGAACAAAAGCCCCAGGUCUUGACUGCUUCACCUUCAUUUUCUAUAAAAACGCAUGGCAUUUGAUAGGGCCUAACAUUUUUUAUAUGGUGCUUGAAUUUUCUGGACUAAGGAAAUUACCAACAGGAAUUAACAUCUCUCAUAUGGCCUUUGUUCCAAAAUCAAAGCUAUCUACAGAAUUUUCAGAGUAAGGCCAAUAAGUUUAGUGCAUGGCUUGUACAAAAUUAUAGGUAAACUGCUAUCCAACAAAUUGAAAGUCAUUAUGCAUAGUAUUAGCGCUAAUCCAACAACUUUCAUCAAAUUUUAGAUGAUUUCAUGAAGGCUAACGAAGUUGUACACAAUGUUAAGAAAAGUGGGCACAUAGUUUGGUUAUGAAAGUGGACUUUCAUAUAAGACUUUUAAUUGAGUGGUACAGGAGUACCUAGGGAAAGUGAUGUCAUAUAUGGGUUUUUAGAGGAGGUGGACUUCUCUAAUACAUCAAUGCAUUACGAGAUCUAAAUUAGCUAUUUUUAACAUCGUCAGAAAAUUAAUAAAUACAAAUGAAAAUAUUGAUAAAAAUAUUCCGUCGAUAAAUUGCAGUAAAUUUUACCGAUGAAAAUAUUUCAUCGGUAUAUACUGAAGGAAUUACAGUGGGCAAAAAAAAAAAAACAAAGUCAAAAAAUACGAUGACAUGUCAUUUAUAUCAACAAAAUUACCAACGGAAUAAAUUUCAUUGGUAAAAUCAUUGAUAAACUAUUAACAUUGUUCAUCAUGUCAAGUACAAAAGGAAUUGCCAACGGAAAAUUAUGUUGAUAUUUACUAGAGAGCUCUAGAACUGUUUACUUUCCAUUUGCGUUGUUAAUUAAUAUUCUUUACAAAUAAAAUCACCGACGGAUUGAAAAGUCGUCGGUGUUAUUUGGUGGGUUUCUAAUUUUUUUUGAUUAAAUUGAAAAUUUAAAUUAAAUAUUAUAGACGGAAUCAUCGACGAAUUGAAAAGUUGUCGGUGAUAUUUGGUGGUUUUUGAAAAAUUUUUAUUAAAUUGAAAAUUUAAAUUAAAUAUUAUAGAUGGAAUCACCAACGAAAUGAUUAAAAAUAUUAAAAUUUAAUUAUCCAUCGGUAAAACUGUCAGUAAAACACCCGAAUAAAAAGCCGAAAUCUCUAAUUUCACAACAAAGAGACCUCAUUUCUUCUUCUUCUUCUUCUUCUUCUUCUUCUUCUUCUUCCCCAUAAGUAAAAAAAUGACCAUCCCUUUCUUUCUCUUCUCUUCUCUUCUCUCCUUAACUCCUCUUCUCCUUCAUACUCAGGUAUGUCUUCUUCUCCUUUCUUCUUUUCUCUUCUCAAUUUUUUCUAAUUAAUAUACUUCUUCUCCUUCAUAUGAAAUCAAUUUUUAGUUCACUUAUUUUUAGAAAUCGCAACUUUAUUUUUUCAUAUGAUUGUUUAUAGUUGAAUUUAUUUUUUGUGUUAUUUAUUUGUUGUAAAUUUAUUUGAGUUGAUUUUCUUCUUUUGUUUUUCCUAGUAACUCAAUUUUGAGUAUUAUUAAGUGUUGAUUUAUAUUAAUUUAAUUAUUUAAUAGUUUUGUAAAAUAGAUUUUUUAAAAAUAUUUUUAAAUAAUCACCGAUGGAAUUACAUAUGGUAUUUUUCUAAGGAAAAUAUCGACGUAAUGAAGCGGGUAAUUUUUUUCACGCUUUUUUUGUUAGUAAAUCCAUCGGUAAUAAUAUUUUUUAUUAUCAACGGAUAAAAAAUUACAGAUAAAAGAUUCAUCGAUGGAGCAUUUUCAUCUGUGAUUCCAUCGAUAAAUUAAUUACUAAUAGAAUGAUAGUACAAAUACCGAUAAAAAAUUCCAUCGGUAAAUAUAAAGAUUAUGAUAGUGUAUUAAAGGUUCACCAAGCGCGGAGUUUAGAGUAGAACGUGACUAUGUCAAGGCAAUAAUCACUAUUGCCUUUUCUUUUUGACAUAUAUAUGAAGGGGUUAUCAGUUCUAUUUAAAAGAGCUUCCACUUCUGGAUUAUUUAAAGGAAUCCAUUAUGGAAAUGGGAUGUAUAUGAGUUUUUGCAUAUGAUAUCUUAGUGUUUAUUCCUAAUCAUUUCAUUUUGAUAAUUAAUGCUAAAAGAAUUUUGAGGUGGUUUGAAUUGAGAUCUGAAGGUUAAUUUUUGUAAAAAUUCACUAGCUGACAUUAACCUAGAUGAUGAAUUUACAGUAGGAAUAACAAAUGUGAUAAAUAGCAUCCGCACAAGACUAGUUUCAUGGAAAGGUAAGUUCUAGCGAAAUGCAUUCACGAUGUUAUCAUAUGGAAUUUUGUGGGGGUAUUUGGACUGCAAGAAACAAGCUUAUUUUUAAAGAUAAAAAGCUUGAUUGAAAUACAUUGUUUCAACUCAUACUCCAUCGUCUUGCACUUUCAUUUGAAUUAAGUUGUGCAGCGCCAAUAUUAUCACAAUAAAUCAAAGGCACUUGUUUAACUGAAUAUUGAAGUUCAUUUAAUAAUGGACAUACCCAGCUAAUUUCUAAACCAGUGUCAGCAUUGACGAUAUUCAGCCUCCGUUGAUGAUCUAGCAAUGGUUUGUUGUUUCUUGGAUGACCAUGAGACAGGAUUCUGACCAAGGUAUAGAAUGUAGGCACUAGUGGAGGAGAAGUCAUCCUUGUUUCCCCCCAAUCUGCAUCUAAAAAUGCAUGCAAGUGAGCAGGUGAUUGAUGAUACAGAAGAAGACCUACGUUACUGGUGCCUGAAAGAUAACGUAGGAGGCGUUUGACAAGUUUCCAAUGUUCUUCAGUCGGGUUGUGCAUGAACUGUGACAACUUGUUCACAACGAAAGAUACAUCUGGUCGGGUGAGUGAAAAAUAUUGAAGACUUCCAAAUGUGGCAUGACAUUCUGAAGGAUCUAAGAGCAACUUACCCAUUGCAAGAGUGGGAGGAGGACCUGGUGGCAGUGGAGUAGCCAUAGGCCGUGAGUUGCUCAUGUUGGUAUGAUGCAAGAGAUCUUGAAUAUAUUUGUACUGAGAAAGCACCAACCUGCAAGGAUGUGAUUAUAUUUCUACACCAAGGAAAUAAGUCAGAGAACCCAAAUCUUUUAGGGAGAACCGCUUGGCUAAAUUUUGAACAAGUAGAUCGACUGCAUGCUCAUCAUCACCGGUGAUGAUAAUGUUGUCUACAUAUACCAAUAAAUAUAGAAGAUGUCCAUGAUGUUUAAGAAUGAAUAAGGACGUAUCAUUCACUGAAUUUGUGAAGCUGCUAGCAAUCAGAAUGGAGUGAAGCUCAUGGUACCACACACGUGGUGCUUGCUUUAGGCCAUAAAUGGCUCUACGCAGUUUGCAAAUGAAAUUUGGUCAUUCUUUAUCUACAAAGACAGGAGGUUGAACUAUGUAUACAUCUUCCUAUAGAUGUCCCUGCAGAAAAGCAUUGUUGACAUCCAAUUAUCACAGCUUCCACCCAUUACUAACUGCAAUGGACAUGACAAGAUGAACUAUGGUUGGCUUGACAACUGGAAUGAAGGUUUUGGUAUAGUCAAGCCCUGGUCGCUGGUGAAAGCCUUUGGCCACCAAGCAUGCUUUAUAACAAGAAACACUGCCAUCUGAAUUGCGCUUCACCCUGAAAAUCCAUUUAUAAUCGACUAAGUUAGAGGCAUAUUGAGGAGAAACCAAAUCCCAGGUUUGAUUUUGGAUGAGAGCAUUAAACUCAUCCUGCAUGGCAUGACGCUAUUGGGCAUCCUUUAAAACAUUGGCAGCAGAUGUGGGCUCCUGAAUAUCAGUUGUGGGAAGAUGUGAAAGGAAGGUGAGUUUGCGGAUAGGUUUGUAGAUAUUGUUUUUGGAUCCAGUUGUCAUGGGAUGAGAAGAGGCAACAGGUUGAGCUGGGGGUGGAUGAGUGAUCAGUGGGGAUGUUGAGGUGGGCAGAACAGUGGAAGGUUGUGUCAGUUGUAUGGCGGAAGGGCUACUGGUGGCCGUUGUAAUGGAGCUGCUGACAGGGUGUGUGGCAGAGGGUGGAACUGCAGGUGGUAUGAACGGAUGAGAUUGAGGCGCAGGUGCCACAAUAGAAAGAAUAGGAGGUGUCAAUGCAUGCAGAGAUGAAGAGUUUGACACAUAUUGUGAUUGUAGUAAAUUAGGAUAUGGAAAAAUGGACUCAACAAAUCGAACAUGACAAGAAGAAAAAAAUUUUGAAGACUGUGGAUCAAAGCAAAUGUAAGCACUUUGAGAUAAGGAGUAUCCAAGAAAUAUGAAUGGUUUGGACCAGACAUCUAGUUUAUGAGCUGAAUAUGGAUGUAGCCAUGGAUAACACAAACACCCGAAAAUUCACAGUUUAGCAUAGUUCGGAGAUUUUUGAAAAAUAAGGUCAAAAGGAGAAAAAUAGUUUAAAGAAGGUGAUGACAUCCGAUUAAUUAAAUAAAUGGCAGUGGAAACGCAAAUGACCAAAAGUUUUGAGGUAAUGAAGCAUGAGUUAGAAGUGAAAGACCUGUUUCUACUAUGUGUCUGUGUUUUUGUUCAGAGAUACCAUUAUGUUCAAGUGUGUGUGGUGGGGAAGUAUGAUGAGAAAUGCCAUGUGUUUGAAAAAAAUCUUUGAGAGCUGUAAAUUCACCGCCAUUAUCGGAAUAGAAAGUGAUUAUUUUAUGCUUGAAAUAAUUUUCAACAAUGACUUUAAAGCGUAUGAAAGUAGACUUGACAUCUGAUUUGUGUUGCAAAGGAUAAAACCAUGUAUAACGUGUAAAAUGACCCACAAAGACAAUAUAAUAUUUAAAGCAAUCAAUUGAGUGCAUAGGAGCAGUCCAUACAUUAGAGAAAAUUAUUUCAAGAGGAGCAUGAGACUCUAAAGUGGAAGCUGAGAAUGGAAGUUUAUGACUUUUGUUACAUUGACAUGCAUUGCAGGAAAUCUGUUUGGUCAUGGAACAAGUGUUUAACUUGUUUUUAGAAAGAAUAACAUUAAGAAUAGGCAACGAUGGGUGACCUAAUCUAAAAUGCCAAUUUAUUGGUGCAGUUUUGGAAAUAGAAAAUGCGGUUGGAGAAGGGGACAUUGGAUUGAACCCCGGCCAUUCAUAAAUGCCACCUUUGCUCUCACCCUGAGCGCGAACCAAUGUUUAAGAGUUGGAGGCAGGAUUAAGAGUGUUUAAGGUGUCAGUGAUGAUAUAUUGUGGUGGACAAGGUUUGGUUCCAUCAACAAAACCUUGGAGAUCAUAACCUAUAAAAAGUGUUUGGAAUUGCAGCUUCCAUGACAAAUAAUUUGAGCUGGUGAGCUUGAGAGGAGCCUGUGCCGUGACAUUAAUGGUCACCAGGUUGGGCAGGCUGGAGUGAUAUUAGUUUGUGUUGUUGGGAUCAGUCAUGAUGAGAAGGAUGAGAAAGAAAAAAAUAUUAAAGAUGCUCUGUUACCAUAUAAAGAGUUAAUAUGCCUUGCAAUAUAUCUUCUUAUUAAUUCAAUGACGAUAUAUAUACAACCAUGAAGAAUGAAUAAGAUAAGCUUUCCUAACAACCUAGUAAUAGAGAAUUAAUUUAAAUUCAAAAUACUGGAAUUCUAUUAGCAUUUGUAUUACUGAAGACUAGUACAUAAUCCUAACUAUACAUGAUUCCUGAAGACCAGCACUGUAAAGUCGUAUGUUGCUGGCUGACAUUAAGCUCUUAAUUAAUGAGAGGAAAAUGUAGGGUUGGAAAAAAGUUUGGAAGUGAUAAUCAGUACAUACCAAGCCAAAUAAGAUUGUCUCAUGUAGUAACAGACACAUGGUACUAAAUAGGAUUGUGUCCGGUGUAGUAAUAAAGUUUCUACCUUCUAUGGUAUAUAAAAUGUCUGACCACUUCAACAACAUGUCACGUAAAGAGUACAUUGAUGUCAUUAUCCUAGAAAUUUUUGCCAAACUUUAUUUAUUUUGCUAAACUUUAUAUACUAAAUUAUAAUCAACUCCUAGAUAUUUUACACGUAAAAUUAGAGACCUCGUCCACUUUGUGCCUCUAUAAAUAGCUUAACCUCGACCUUAUCUCCACACAUCACAAGAAAUUCCUUUCUCUCUUUGCAUAUCAAUAUCAAAACUCCCUUCAGGAGUAGCGAAAAUGAGAAGCAAUAUUCUACUUACCAUUAUCUUAGCCAUAGUUCUUGCAGGAGCCCUGCCCAAGAAUGUGGUAGAGGCUCAAAAUUGUGGCUGUGCUGCAAACCUUUGUUGCAGUCAAUAUGGCUACUGUGGCACUGGCAAUGCCUAUUGUGGUCAGGGAUGUAAACAAGGGCCCUGUUAUUCAUCGCCUACGCCUACUACCCCUAGUGGGAGUGGUUCUGUUGCUGAUAUUGUUACGCCUGCUUUCUUCAAUGGUAUAAUCAACCAAGCUGCUGCAAGCUGUGCUGGGAAGAAUUUCUAUACAAGAAAUGCAUUUCUCAGUGCUGUC